rnacentral:rRNA from 1 species
UACGAGGGGGGCGAGCGUUGUUCGGAAUUAUUGGGCGUAAAGGGUGCGUAGGCGGUUUUGUAAGUCUUAUGUGAAAUCUAUGGGCUCAACUCAUAGACUGCAUGAGAAACUGCAGGGCUUGAGUAUGGGAGAGGUGAGUGGAAUUCCUGGUGUAGCGGUGAAAUGCGUAGAUAUCAGGAGGAACACCGGUGGCGAAGGCGGGUCUCUGGGCCGAUACUGACGCUGAGGAGCGAAAGCAUGGGUAGCGAACAGG